rnacentral:tRNA from 1 species
GAAGGCUAUAAAGGUGUUACUGCUAAUAACACAAAGAGUUUUUAUUUACUCAGCUUUCU